ensembl:lncRNA
GAUUGACUUGGCAGAAGAAAUUUUCAUCUCCUAAAGUGUCAAGUGAUUUGUUUGUAUAAGAAUUUUUUUCAACCUGUUCACUCACAGCGCUGGGAGCACUGUAAAUGCGAAGGAUCCUGAAAGGUACCCUGGAAAACUUCAGUGUAUGGGCAUAGAGCUCAUGCUCAUGAGUGGCCAAUGAACAAUACCCGCCCCUCCUCUCGGAUUUAGCCACGCCCUUCAUUAGUUCCUGAGGGGAUUUUUCAGAACAGAGAUUAUGGCAGUUUCAGCAUCGAAUUCCAUUUUUAGCAGGUGUGCUUCCUGACCAGAGAAGUCAGAUGACGGCAUGAGCAGCCCCUUAAAAGACAAGGCUUGGAUUGGCAGUAGCAGACAAGGAACUCUGUGGGCAUACUCCAAGGAAACUGGU